rnacentral:SRP_RNA from 1 species
CCGCACUGGCCGGGGAAGCAGCGGCUCCCUGUACCUGCAAUCCGCUAUAGCAGGGGUGAUUUCCCGCCCUCGGGUCAUGCGAGUUUCUGACUGCCCCAUGCAUAAGGUGUUGAGGAUCCGGCCCUGCGCAAUCUGAGCCCGUGAACCAUGUCAGGCGGGGGACCGAGCAGCAUUAAGCGGUGUCUUCAGGUGUGCCGCGGGUAAACCGAGUCUGAGCUGAGUGUAUGGGUAACGGGAGGUUCGCAUAUUCAAAGGUGGGUGUGCGG